UACGAAGGGGGCUAGCGUUGUUCGGAAUUACUGGGCGUAAAGCGCGCGCAGGCGGUCUUCCAAGUCAGUGGUGAAAGCCCGGAGCUCAACUCCGGAAUUGCCAUUGAAACUGUGAGACUGGAGUACGAGAGAGGUGAGUGGAAUUCCCAGUGUAGAGGUGAAAUGCGUAGAUAUCAGGAGGAACACCGAUGGCGAAGGCAGGUCUCUGGGCUGACACUGACGCUCAUGCACGAAAGCGUGGGAGCGAACAGG
rnacentral:rRNA from 1 species